rnacentral:rRNA from 1 species
CCUACGGUGGGCAGCAGUGGGGAAUAUUGCACAAUGGGGGAAACCCUGAUGCAGCGACGCCGCGUGAGUGAAGAAGUAAUUCGUUACGUAAAGCUCUAUCAGCAGGGAAGAAAUACUGACCUUACGGUCAGCAGACGGUACCUGAGUAAGAAGCCCCGGCUAACUACGUGCCAGCAGCCGCGGUAAUACGUAGGGGGCAAGCGUUAUCAGGAUUUACUGGGGGUAAAGGGAGCGUAGACGGUGGGCCAAGUCUGGAGUGAAAUGCCGCAGCUUAACUGCGGAACUGCUUUGGAAACUGGUGAACUAGAGUGCGGGAGAGGUAAGCGGAAUUCCUGGUGUAGCGGUGAAAUGCGUAGAUAUUAGGAAGAACACCGGUGGCGAAGGCAGCUUACUGGACCGUAACUGACGUUGAGGCUCGAAAGCGUGGGGAUCAAACAGGAUUAGAUACCCGAGUAGUC